rnacentral:misc_RNA from 1 species
AAAGGCGUUCUUGCUUUUCCAAGUUAACAAAUAUCCUGCUAAAAUGACCGAAUCAACUGAAGAUAAUACACGAUUGAAUGAAAAUGAUACUAACAUGGAAUUUGCGACUCCUGAAAAACAAGAAGCACGUGCGUUUUUACGUGAACGAUUUCUACGUGUAAUUACUGGAAUUGUUGGAAAACAAGCAGAAUUUCAUCUAUAUGAAAAUACACAGGUUUCUGCUGAAUUUAGAGGUUGUGAUGUAGAUUGCUUAGAAAUAUAUGUACGAAACUUAGAAACACCAUUAGAGAAGACGAGUUGUGAAACAUCCCUCGGAACGCAGGAUCAAAGUCGACGUGAAAUUCUUCGAAAGAUAGAACCAAAUUCAGUGGUAUUCGAACUAUGUCCAAACAGGAGAUAAGGUCAGCGCGCACGAAAUGAACACAGUAGACAUAACGGCCCAAUCUUCAGUCCCCAUACACCUUGCUUGCUUUUGCGUUCACAUUGUUUUUCUGGCACAGUCAGUAUCUAUCGCGUCGAGGACUGUUACAGAACGCGUCGAGAUACGUGAAUGAAAAAUAAAACAAAGCGAUUCAAAAUCAAGAUAUUCGUUCUAAUAUUAUAAACAACGCUGGAAGGGCACAAGAUGAGUACAU